rnacentral:rRNA from 1 species
UAGUAACGGCGAGUGAAGAGGGAAAAGCUCAAAUUUUGAAUCUGGUGUCUUUGGCGCCCGAGUUGUAAUCUAGAGAAGUGUUUUCUGCCUCGGACCACACAUAAAUUCCCUGGAAUGGGGUGUCAUAGAGGGUGAGAAUCCCGUUUGUGGUGUGGGCUACCUUGACUCUGUGAUACACUCUCAACGAGUCGAGUUGUUUGGGAAUGCAGCUCAAAAUGGGUGGUAAAUUCCAUCUAAAGCUAAAUAUUGGCGAGAGACCGAUAGCGAACAAGUACCGUGAGGGAAAGAUGAAAAGCACUUUGGAAAGAGAGUGAAACAGUACGUGAAAUUGUUGAAAGGGAAGCGUUUGAAGUCAGUCACAUCGGUUGGAAUUCAGCCUGGCUUUGCCUGGUGUACUUUCUGGCAGAUGGGUCAGCGUCAAUUUUGACUGAGGGAAAAAGACUUGAGGAAUGUGGCUGUCUUUGGGCAGUGUUAUAGCCUCUUGUUGUAUGUCUCAGUUGGGAUUGAGGACCGCAGCACGCCUUAUGGCCGGGGUUCGCGCCCUCGGAACGUGCUUAGGA